GUCGAACGAGAAAGUGGAGCAAUCCAUGAGUAAAGUGGCGUACGGGUGAGUAACACGUGGAUCAUCUGCCUUUUAGUGGGGAAUACCGCUGGGAAACCGGCGACAAUACCGCAUAAGCUCGAGAGAGGAAAGCCGAAAGGCGCUGGAAGAGGAGUCCGCGGUCGAUUAGCUAGUUGGUGAGGUAAUGGCUCACCAAGGCUGUGAUCGAUAGCCGGCCUGAGAGGGCACACGGCCACACUGGCACUGAAACACGGGCCAGACUCCUACGGGAGGCAGCAGUGGGGAAUCUUGCACAAUGGGGGAAACCCUGAUGCAGCGACGCCGCGUGAGCGAUGAAGCCCUUCGGGGUGUAAAGCUCUUUCGGCAGGGAAGAUUAUGACGGUACCUGCAGAAGCAGCUGCGGCUAACUACGUGCCAGCAGCCGCGGUAAUACGUAGGCAGCAAGCGUUGUUCGGAGUUACUGGGCGUAAAGGGUGCGUAGGCGGCUCGAUAAGUAUGGUGUGAAAUCUCCCGGCUUAACUGGGAGGGUGCGCUAUAGACUGCCGGGCUAGAGUGUGGGAGAGGAAAGUGGAAUUCCUGGUGUAGCGGUGAAAUGCGUAGAUAUCAGGAGGAACACCGGUGGUGUAAACGGCUUUCUGGACCAUAACUGACGCUGAGGCACGAAAGCGUG
rnacentral:rRNA from 1 species